rnacentral:rRNA from 1 species
UGAAUACGAGAUGCUACGGCGUCGAAGCAGUCUAUGUCAUACUUCCAAGAAAGCUCGCACUGUCAUAAACAAAUAAUGCCUGUACCAUAACCGACACAGGUGGGUAGGUAGAGUAUACUAAGGGGCGCGAGAUAACUCUCUCUAAGGAACUCGGCAAAAUGACUCCGUAACUUCGGGAGAAGGAGUGCCUUAUUUAUAAGGUUGCAAUAACAAGAUCCAAGCAACUGUUUAUCAAAAACACAGGUCUCCGCUAAGUCGUAAGACGAUGUAUGGGGGCUGACGCCUGCCCAGUGCCAGAAGGUUAAAGAAGUUGGUUAGCAUUCGCGAAGCUGAUAACUGAAGCCCUGGUGAACGGCGGCCGUAACAAUAACGGUCCUAAGGUAGCGAAAUUCCUUGUCUGGUAAGUUCCGACCCGCACGAAAGGCGCAAUGAUUUGGAUACUGUCUCGGAGAGGGGCUCGGUGAAAUAGACUUGUCUGUGAAGAUGCGGACUACCUGCACCAGGACAGAAAGACCCUAUGAAGCUUUACUGUAACUUGAGAUUGAAAUUGGACUUUACUUGCGCAGUAUAGGUGGGAGGCGUUGACAAUAUUCUUGCGGGAUUAUUUGAGCCAUCAGUGAGAUACCACUCUUGUAAUGUUAGAUUUCUAACUUUGUAUCAUUAUCUGGUCAAAGGACAGUUUCAGGCGGGCAGUUUGACUGGGGCGGUCGCCUCCUAAACGGUAACGGAGGCGCACAAAGGUUUCCUCUGAACGGGUAGAAAUCGUAUCUAGAGUGUAAAGGCAUAAGGAAGCUUGACUGUGAGACCUACAAGUCGAGCAGGGACGAAAGUCGGUCUUAGUGAUCUGACGGUGCUGAGUGGAAAGGCCGUCACUCAACGGAUAAAAGUUACUCUAGGAUAACAGGCUGAUCUCCCCCAAGAGUUCACAUCGACGGGGAGGUUUGGCACCUCGAUGUCGGCUCAUCGCAUCCUGGGGCGGUAGUACGUCCCAAGGGUUGGGCUGUUCGCCCAUGAAAGCGGUACGCGAGCUGGGUUCAGAACGUCGUGAGACAGUUCGGUCCAUAUCCGGUGUAGGCGUUAGAAUAUUGAGAGGAGCCUUCUUUAGUACGAGAGGACCGAGAAGGACAUACCUCUGGUGUACCAGUUAUCGUGCCAACGGUAAACGCUGGGUAGCUAUGUAUGGAGUGGAUAACCGCUGAAAGCAUCUAAGUGGGAAGCCCACCUCAAGAUAAGUAUUCUCA